rnacentral:sRNA from 1 species
GGUGUCGAAAGGCACCACCCCUGUUGUCGAGCGACACCAAUACCUGACGGCAAUUCGAAGACGCAACUUAUUGAUGUUUUGAAGAUUUUCAAAUGCGGCCCAAAACUUUCUCUUAUUUCUAAAGACGGCACAUCACGUAUUUUAGGUCAUAUAUAUAGUUUUAAAGGUCAUUGUUUAGACCUAAGCUUGGAGAGACUAUUCUGCUCAUCUCUUUUGUACUUAGGGCGUAAAACCAUGUGGAGACUGU